rnacentral:rRNA from 1 species
AGCCUGAUGCAGCGACGCCGCGUGAGGGACGACGGCCUUCGGGUUGUAAACCUCUUUCAGCACAGACGAAGCGCGAGUGACGGUAUGUGCAGAAGAAGGACCGGCCAACUACGUGCCAGCAGCCGCGGUAAUACGUAGGGUCCGAGCGUUGUCCGGAAUUACUGGGCGUAAAGAGCUCGUAGGUGGUUUGUCGCGUUGUUCGUGAAAACUCACAGCUCAACUGUGGGCGUGCGGGCGAUACGGGCAGACUGGAGUACUGCAGGGGAGACUGGAAUUCCUGGUGUAGCGGUGGAAUGCGCAGAUAUCAGGAGGAACACCGGUGGCGAAGGCGGGUCUCUGGGCAGUAACUGACGCUGAGGAGCGAAAGCGUGGGGAGCGAACAGGAUUAGAUACCCUGGUAGUCCACGCCGUAAACGGUGGGUACUAGGUGUGGGUUUCCUUCCUUGGGAUCCGUGCCGUAGCUAACGCAUUAAGUACCCCGCCUGGGGAGUACGGCCGCAAGGCUAAAACUCAAAGAAAUUGACGGGGGCCCGCACAAGCGGCGGAGCAUGUGGAUUAAUUCGAUGCAACGCGAAGAACCUUACCUGGGUUUGACAUGCACAGGACGCUGGUAGAGAUAUCAGUUCCCUUGUGGCC